UAUCCACACAACUGCCACUCAUGUUCUCUUUUUUUCGGACCAUUCUCUGUAAAUCCUAGAGAUGGUUGUGCGUGAAAAUCCCAGAAGAUCAGCAGUUUUUGAAAUACUCAGACCAGCUCACCUGGCACCAACUACCAUUCCAUGUUCAAGUCACUUAUAUCCCCUUUCUUUCCCAUUCUGAUGCUCGGUUCUGAAAUCCUAAAUGCACUGAGUUGCUGCCAUGUGAUUUGCUGAUUAGCCAUUUGUGUUACCAAGCAAUUGAAGAGGUGUACCUAAUAAAGUGGCCGACCUGUGAACCUCUGCAUACCAGCUCACAGCGUCUUUCAUAAGGACAGGCGAAGUUGCUGAGCACUGAAUCACUGUUGUUAUCUUUUCUAUCCUCCUCAAACUCCCUGACUGCUCCUCCAUGCUGAUCUGCGAGCCAGGCUGUGAGGGUCGUCUUCCUGCAACAAACUCCAGGCUCGGCUUCCGUAUGCGGCUCUGCCAGGACACGUCCUCGGAUUGUUCUUGAGCACCAAACCCCCCCUCUCUCGGCUUGCAGAGGGUCCUCUGAAGGGCUUUCUGGAGGGCUGUGUGACAGCCGACAGGCCUGCGAACCUCGGGUUUCGCAGAGUCUCGGAUUGGGCGUAACGUAAAGUUAGUUUGUUCAUAUGAAAACGGUUGACUGUAGGGGCCGAGG